UACGUAGGGGGCGGGCGUUAUCCGGAAUUACUGGGCGUAAAGGGUGCGUAGGCGGCUUGCACAGUCAGGCGUGAAAUUCCUGGGCUCAACCUGGGGACUGCGCUUGAGACGUGUGGGCUUGAGUGGGGAAGAGGGUCGUGGAAUUCCCAGUGUAGAGGUGAAAUUCGUAGAUAUUGGGAAGAACACCGGUGGCGAAGGCGGCGACCUGGUCCUUGACUGACGCUGAGGCGCGAAAGCGUGGGGAGCAAACAGG
rnacentral:rRNA from 1 species